CGCAGGAGAGGGUGCAGGCUGGGGCACUCUUUUGUAAAAGGAGGGGGGGGGGGCGCAACAGGGUUGACUUAGCUUCCCUAGCAAUGUUUAGUAUCAUGCUCAUCCAAUUCCUUGGACACUUAGUGUCACCCAUGUUCUUGCAUCAAGUCCCGUGGUUCUCAAAACAAGGCAAGCUUUGGUCUUGUCCCACCUUUACAGUACCCUCUAGACCCAGGCUGCUGCUAAGCUCUGAGCCAGGAGGGAAUUACUGGAAACUUAGGAGGCAGCAGGCAGCCUAGAGGAAAAUCCUACCAGCCGGAGCAGCACGUAGUGAAGGGAGAAGCCGGGAGAGACUGUGUCAGCCAGGAGGAUGUCAGGAUGUCAACCUGAACUCAGGAGUCAAUGUGGACUUUAGGAAGAAGACUGUGCAGAGCAGAAGUAAUGGGAGGAAAAGAAAAUGGAAUGUUUUGAUCGCCUACGGUCCACUGCAACUGCAGGCCGACACGGCCAUGGCUGUGAAGAUGGUAGGGCUCCGGUCCACAUAUUCAAGGAAAAUUGUUUAACUGAAAUAGACAUACAUAUAUACAUCAAAGUAGUACAUGUUGCUAUAUCAUA